UUUGCAAGAUGAUGAAUUGAAGCUAAUUAGUCUCUCUGUCACACCUUUCUCUCAAGUUUCUCACUAAAGAACACAAUUUCAAACAGAUUUUGUUGGAGUAGGUUUUAUCAGUUUUCCCAAUCUUUGUUCGAGUUCGUGAUUCUGCCCGAAAUUCUCAUCCGUUGUUAGUGUUCAAGUUUCUUGGUGAAGAUCGUUUCCCUGCUCGUCCCGUUCCAGUUCACUGCCUGAAGAAAGACCUCACUCGAAGAGCUGAUGGACGGAAGCUGAAGAACUUAUUUCAUCAA